rnacentral:pre_miRNA from 1 species
AACAUACUCCCUCCAUCCCAAAAUUCUUGUCUUAGAUUUGUCUAGAUAUAGAUGUAUCAAGUCACAUUUUAGUAUUAGAUACAUCCGUAUCUAGACAAAUCUAAGACAAGAAAUUUGGGACAGAGGGAGUAUUAC